CGAGCGAUCGAAGCAUUAGCAAGUUCUCUUGUUAUUGGUCACUCCAUUCGUUGUCAUUUGCUUUUGUAUAAUUGUUCACCACUUUUAUAGAGCGAGUUGAUUUCUAUAACUUAGUGAUGAUGAUAAUAUGACACGGUUUCAAAAAAUACAAAAUCGUUACGGCGGUGGUCGCAAUUGUUCCGAAAAAAUAUAAUUUUUAUUGCAACCCUCAAAUCCUGAAAUCAAAGCCGCACUUCCACCAUCGCCGGCGGUGUUCGCAAUUGUUCCGACAAAUCGAUUUCAAAAAUGGAAAAUGUUCAACAGAUUUUGGAGAAUCAAGUUUUAACAGUUGCGAAAGCGAUGGAGGAUAAGAUCGACGAUGAAAUUGCAGCCCUAGAUCGCCUAGAAAGCGACGAUAUAGAAGUGUUGAGAGAGAAGAGGAUUAAGCAGAUGAAGAAAAUGGCGGAGAAGCGUAGCCGUUGGAUCUCCCUCGGCCAUGGCGAUUAUUCCGAGAUUCCUUCUGAAAAGGAAUUCUUCUCUGUUGUUAAAGCCAGUGACCGCGUCGUUUGUCAUUUCUAUCGCGAAAAUUGGCCUUGUAAGGUCAUGGACAAGCACUUAAGCGUUUUAGCAAAGCAGCAUAUUGAGACACGGUUUGUAAAAAUUCAGGCCGAGAAAAGUCCAUUUUUAGCUGAAAAGCUGAAGAUUGUUGUCCUUCCCACCCUUGCUGUUAUAAAGAAUGCCAAAGUUGAAAAUUAUUUGGUCGGUUUUGAUGAUCUUGGUGGCCGUGAUGAUUUUAGCACAGAAGAACUAGAGGAGAGAUUAGCUAAGCAUCAGGCUAUCAUCUUCGACGGUGAAUCAUCAGUAAAACCCUCAAGAAGUCAGGGACAUACCAGAAGUGUCCGACAAAGUGAAACCCAUGAUUCGUCAGAUUCAGAUUAGAGUUGUGAGGCCUAGGUCACUUCGCCUUUCUUUCAUGAUAUUAUAAUCUUUUUGUAUGCAGGGAAGGAGAGGGGGCAAAAACAGAGUUAUGUGGAGGGUGAAAGAGAAAGAAAGAGGUACCUAAGCGUGGCCAAAACAUAGUUUACCUUGGCGCUGAAGAGGAUUAACCCCUCAAUAAUUCUUCCUAGUAUCCCAAUUCUUCAAGGCCGGCAAAGAAAUGAUUUCGUCAGACUGCUUGGCCAUUCACUACGGCAGGACUUUUGGCAAACUUUCCUUGUUCUUUGCUGUUAUUGAACACACUUGCAAGUGAUGAAGUAGAAGUUGGAUAUGUAAAGUUGUUUUUUCAAAUUGUUGAGAGUCUUGAUAUUAAUAAAGAAGUACAAUGUUUACCUGA